GCCGGGAUGGCGGAACUGGUAGACGCGCCGGACUCAAAAUCCGGUUCUGGCGACAGAGUGUGGGUUCGAUUCCCUCUCCCGGCACCA
rnacentral:tRNA from 2 species